rnacentral:rRNA from 1 species
UGCCUACGGGGCGCAGCAGUGAGGAAUAUUGGUCAAUGGCCGGAAGGCUGAACCAGCCAAGUCGCGUGAGGGACGACUGCCCUAUGGGUUGUAAACCUCUUUUAUAAGGGAAGAAUAAAUGCUACGUGUAGCAUGAUGCCUGUACCUUAUGAAUAAGCAUCGGCUAACUCCGUGCCAGCAGCCGCGGUAAUACGGAGGAUGCGAGCGUUAUCCGGAUUUAUUGGGUUUAAAGGGUGCGUAGGCGGGCUUUUAAGUCAGCGGUAAAAAUUCGGGGCUCAACCCCGUCCGGCCGUUGAAACUGGGGG